rnacentral:rRNA from 1 species
UACGGGGGGGGCAAGCGUUGUUCGGAAUUACUGGGCGUAAAGCGCACGUAGGCGGCUUUGUAAGUUAGAGGUGAAAGCCCGGGGCUCAACCCCGGAAUUGCCUUUAAGACUGCAUCGCUUGAAUCCAGGAGAGGUGAGUGGAAUUCCGAGUGUAGAGGUGAAAUUCGUAGAUAUUCGGAAGAACACCAGUGGCGAAGGCGGCUCACUGGACUGGUAUUGACGCUGAGGUGCGAAAGCGUGGGGGGCAAACAGG